ensembl:lncRNA
CAGGUUCCCUGUUGGGGAGAGGGGCUUGCAUCUGGGGAGUAUGUUUCCUGGCGGAGCGAUAUUUGUUUACAGGCUAAGGGCAGUACUGUAAGUGAGUAGCGCUUCGAGAAGGCGGCUCUGACAUAAAUUAAUAUUGAAAUUACUCCAUCAGCUCUGCUCGCCCCUCAUCUCACCCCCCAGGCGAAGACUGGUCUUCUUGUCGGAUUGCCUAUGCACUUGUUGCAGAAACAGCCAAGGUCACCACAGAGCAUUGAGUAGAGUUCCCUGUGCUAUACAGCCCUGGCUCUGGAGGAUGCUGAAAGAGGAAGACACAGAAGCAGGACGACCCUGAGAGAUUAAGCCUCUUAAUCGUGAAACAG